AACACGACCCUUGUAACGCAGCCAUCUGGUCGUUACCUUGGAUUUGCAGCCACGGAGAAUGGAACCGCUGCUGCCACCUUGAACGCAUUGUAAGGAGGUGGGGAUCGACACACCGCCAAUUAGAUCUUGUGACCUCACCGGUCACAAUGGGAUUAUAGCCCUCUUGGAGAAGAAUCUUGGACGGGAAUUGCAAAGAUGUAUUUGCUGCCUUCACAGCAUAGAACUGCCAUUCAGACACUUAUUCAUUGCAUUUGAUGGAGAGACUUCUGGCCCCAACUCGUUUACCGACGUUAUCGGAAAUCUUCUCAGGAAAAUUACCGUUCAGUCAACGCGGCAUUUCUGUCUUCUCUAGGGACAUAUUAUAUUGUGAAGAAGCUGGGUUGAGAUCUACGACUGUAUAUGUCAAGAGAUGCUCCCAAACUUUAGGAAAUUAUUUAGUUAUAUUAUCAAUUUUUACUUACCGCUUCAUUUGAAUAUCAAGUAUAGAAGCUCAGUUGUUAAUGGUGUAGUUAAUUGUUUGAGGAAGUAACAUUGGUCAGGAAUCGGGUUAAGGGUAAAGUUGACAGGGAAAUUUGUAUAGAAGUUUCAGGAAAUAAUUCUUAUUUUGCUCACUCCCGUAACAUUCUAAUUGCCAUGUUGGCUGAAGAUUGUUCUAUUAUUAGAAAAUAGGCUAUAGAUUGUAGUUGGGUAUAUUUUAAUUGUUUUGGUAAUAAUAUGUAAGUAACUGAGCCGCUUACUUUAAAGGGAUUAGAUUUAAAUCUUGAAUUGUUUCAGAACCAAAUACUUCUGGGCUGCCCUGUAAAACGGGCGUAUAGGUUGUCUCGACAAAGCCUCCUUAAAUUAUUGAUAGACUAUCUUAAGGCGAACCUUUUGUAGCUUUUUGCACAGUUCACGGUGUGAAGAUGUUUUUUACCACGGUAAAUUCGGUACACAUACUCAAGUUCGACACGUACAACUGUAGUUCGACAAGCCCAAUGAUGUUAGAAUUGUAGAUUUAACGGAGAGAUAAACGACUAAUAUAAGCGUGAUAACUCUUACUUCGUUUUAAAGAUCUAGAUUGUAGAGUAUGCUAUAUAAAUAUCUACCACAUACCACCUUUUUAUGUUAUCACAAACGACAAGUAACAGAGUACCCGUCUAGAGAUUUGGCUACUAGACCGGAAACAGUAUGAUAUCAGUCUAUUUUCCUGUUAUCAUGCCCUUUAAUAGUUUUACCCGAUAUGGAACCAAAUAUUAACUUUGAAACUUCUUCAAAAACAUAGUUCUUUGAAGCACUGACGUAUGUAAUAUUGUUAAUUUAUUAUACAGAUGAACUUUAGUUCUGUUACA